rnacentral:rRNA from 1 species
UACGGAGGGGGCAAGCGUUGUUCGGAAUUACUGGGCGUAAAGGGCGCGCAGGCGGCUGCUCAAGUCAGGCGUGAAAGGCCUGGGCUCAACCCGGGAAUUGCGCUUGAGACUGGGCUGGCUUGAGUGCGGGAGAGGAUGGUGGAAUUCCCGGUGUAGUGGUGAAAUGCGUAGAUAUCGGGAGGAACACCAGUGGCGAAGGCGACUACCUGGCCCAUUCUUGACGCUGAGGCGCGAAAGCUAGGGGAGCGAACGGGG